GGGAAAAACCUCUCCCCAGUCAGUGGCUCCAGCUCAUUUCGUUGACAUGCGAGACAGGUACCUGGUCUAGCAUUUCUGCAAAAGGUUACACAAACCGCGGUCUUUUAGACAAGCGUUGGGCUGUGCUACAGGGUCUGCACCAGCUCAGAGAUUAUAUAUAUAUAUAUAUAUAUAUAUUUGCAUGCAGUCCUAAAGCUAAUGAGUACUUGUAUUAAAACGGGUCCAACCGUACUUUGGCAGCCUCUGACCCCAGAAUGCAUGGCUCGGUUUCAUUGAUCACCCCUCACCCCUUAUGAGAUAAUGCAAUUACAAACAUCAAUAAGGAGCUGCAAGGGGAAUCAUUAUGCGGUGACAGUGAUAAAUGAUGGUGCCGAAAUAGAAGGCUUUUUCUUUUUCUUUUUUUUUUUCUUCUAACAAUCCAGGAGCCCAGGGGCUUUGGGGGCCGAACACAGUCACCAAGGAAACAGCUGACAUCCAAAAUGGCACCAAAGGGGGGGGGGCAGGGGAAAGAAGUCUUUCUUUCGCCUUUCACUCGUCCCCCCUUCUUCCAAAGAGUUUAGUUUCGGCUUUAGAAGCAGCUGCCACACAGACAUUUAAGUUAUUCCCCACAGUAAAGACCAGGAAGAUUUUUUCUCUGUCCGCUACAUAAAAUAGAAAGCUGGCUGCUCGGAGUUUAUUAACUACUUUCAUGCAAGUUAUCGCGGGGAGCCAAGCAAAAGCAGAUCUCGCAUGUAUGAGCGGGAAUAUGCUUUCUCCCUGUCCCAAGGUUUAAUAUUCACCCUGCCACCUUCCCUCGCUUUAAGUGGCGUUUGCCUUCCGUCUAAGGCUGGUUUUUUUUGUGUCCCUACCAGAGCUUUCUAAUGGGCCCAAUAAGCGUGGUCCUAUGAGGGCUCCAAUAGCCAAAACCAAAGGGAAGCAAAUGGGUAUUUUUCUCAGGCAACCUAACAAGGUCAUGGAGCCAGGUAAAUACACUGCAAUUUUCCAGGCGAGUUCAGGAAGGCAGCGGUGGGAACAUCUGGCGAUCGAUGGCCCAGCCCUGGCGGAUUUAAAGGCAAGAUGGUGCAUUGUGAAGAAUAAAAACACGGACACUGGCUCCUUAAACGUGCCACUUUUUCCUCCCCCCCUGCCCCCCCCCCCGUGGCUGCCAGCUGUCAGCAGCGAGCCCCUUCGCCUUGGGAUGGGGCCGGCAGCGGUGGGAACAGGAGCUCGCCCCGCUCAGCUCCCUUCGGGGGCUUCUAGGUGUGGCUGAAAAGGCUCCCCCCUGGGUUUCACUUCGCUGGACGGGCUCCAGCCACACCCGCACCUUGCAGGGGCUUCCUUCCCACACAAAGCGGCUGCCCACACUCCAGGAAACAGAGGCUAAAAGCUUUUGCUUUGAAUGUGGGGUAGCUAGGAAACAGCAAGCAGCCUGCGAAGACGGAAUUCCCAACGUGUAAAACGGAGCCAUUGAGAGAGUGCAAUAAGGCGUGAGGGGGAACUAAUCUCCCCAUUUACAUGUUUGUGGCAAUUUUAUCUAAAUGAAUUUUAAUGCUAAACGAGGGAUAAUUCCCUAUUUGUAACCCGUUUACUUCUCUUUCCUGUGCCCCCAAAGCCGCCUAAGAUCGUGCGAUGAACAAUAACAAUAAAAAUACUGCCGAGCAUAUUCUU